rnacentral:rRNA from 1 species
GAAUUUUGGACAACGGGCGAAAGCCUGAUCCAGCAAUGCCGCGUGCAGGAUGAAGGCCUCCGGGUUGUAAACUGCUUCUGUACGGAACGAAAAGCUUUGGGUUAAUACCCUGGAGUCAUGACGGUACCGCAAGAACAAGCACCGCCUAACUACGUGCCCUCAGCCGCGGUAAUACGUAGGGUGCAAGCGUUAAUCGGAAUUGCUGGGCGUAAAGCGUGCGCAGGCGGUUUUGUAAGACAGAGGUGAAAUCCCCGGGCUCAACCUGAGAACUGCCUUUGUGACUGCAAGGCUAGAGUACGGCAGAGGGGGGUGGAAUUCCGCGUGUAGCAGCGAAAUGCGUAGAUAUGCGGAGGAACACCGAUGGCGAAGGCAACCCCCUGGGCCUGUACUGACGCUCAUGCACGAAAGCGUGGGGAGCAAACA